GCUCGGCCGCUCCCGGGAGAGCGGGCCGCAGCGCCCCCUGCUGGCCGGAGCCCCGCGGCGCGACCAGCGGCCGCGAGCGUCCUCCGCGAGGCCCCCAGCCGAGAGGCCCCCGGGGACCGGACGCGCUCGCUGCGCCGCGGAGGAUGCGGAUCUGGCUGCGGCUCCGCUGUGCUGCUCCCCGUUGGUACCUGCCGCGAAGAAGGCGUCGCUCUAAGAGCUGUCCGCCGGCUCUGGGAACCCUGCUCAGACGUGGACGCUUAAACUGAGGCUGAACUCUAGCCUCAAGCCCCGUCUUGUGUAAAACCAAGUUGGCAAAAUAGAAAGAAAAACGGUCAAAGUUUUGGUCACCAGGAACCGAAUACCGUCGACUUAGGCCAUCGACUCUGCAAACCUGUGUUGUAGGCCUCCAGGCAACCCCAGGACCUCCGGUCGCUGAUUCCUUCCUUUGUGAAAAUAGAGUUGCUCUGCCUUAAUCUGCACCUGUCUCAGGAGCUCAUAAACCCUUUCCGAGUCUUUAAUCUUUUAAAACUAUUUUCCUUCUGAAACUCUAUGAAGUCAGGCUGGACUUGAACUCAUAAUCCCCCUGCCUUUGCUGGUGAUGGGAGUCUACCACCAGCCAGCCAUCUAUCUUGUCAGGUUUAAAUACGAAGUAUUUCAGAAACAGGGGCAAAGGAAGAUUUACACAGAAGACUUUCCAUCUCUGGUCCAUCAAGAGGACAUAACUAUAAGAGUCAAAAGACAUAGAGGGCUGGGGGUGUAGCUCGUUUGUUAGAGCGCUUGCUAGCACGAAAACCUGGAUUUUAUUCCCAGCACUGCACCUAUAAUCACAGCAUUUGGGAGGUAAAGACAGGAGGAUCACAAGUCCAAGGUCAUCUUCAGCGGCAUGGAGAACUGAAGACCAGCCUAGAACGUGUGAGACCACGGCUCAAACAGCCCCGAAAUCAGAGGGAGAGCUCUGGCACCAAAACCUGCUGUGCCUCAGUGAAGGCAAAGUCUAAGUGAACUCCCGUGAAGCUGUUUAUAGUCUACAUAGAUGUCACUUCAUGUCCGUCCAUCUUUUCAUAUUACUCUGAGACUUCAUAUAAGGCCGCAACAUUCACGAUUACAGACGUGUGUGUAUUUUUAAAAGAUAGGUUCAAUGAGAGCCCUAGCAGUGUCAAUAUCUGAGGGCUAGUACCUGGAAUAACCUCACUUCAGAACCAGAGACUUGUCUGCUGGACCCCUCACAGCCACACCUCUGGAAGCUGUUGACUUGAGAGAGUAACCAGGUGAUGUCUAAUCUCUACCAGCUGUUUUCAGCACGAAUCCAGUUUUCCAGGAAAUGAAUCAUGGAAGACUGUGUGUAGCUCAGUGGUAGAGCACGGGCCUGGAAUCCAUGAAGCUCCAGGUUUCAUCUGCAGCACUAGAUGGAGGUUGCAACACAUUCAUCCUGUCUUCAAUUCCAGAAGUGCUGGCUUGGCUUUACACUAGGUGAAAUGACUCCCAAGGCCUGGACACACAGCUCCUUGGUUUAGCCACAGAGUGCAGAAGAAAUGGCUUCUGUCCAAUGGAGAUUUACUGCUUUGAAGGUAUAUUUAAGCUUUACAACUGCUCUGUACAGAGGUGUUGGUAUUUUUACUUUAGGAUUAAGCGUCCAGAUCUUGGAGAAGUAAGCCUAAGGUACGCACUAAGUGGUAAAGCUGGGGCUUUACCCACCGCUUUGGGGGGCUGAGUAAUGGCGUUUAAUGGAGGCAGCCGCUUCUCUGCGCUCACUUGCCAGGGAAAAAGAACUACUUGUUAACAAAAUUUUGGAAAGAAUAAAACAAAACAAAACAAAAAAACAACAAACAACAACAAAAUUCCCUACACUAACCUUCAAACUUGCAAGAUUUAAUUUACUUUGUAACAGGUAUAGACAUACAUAAUUUAUAUAUCUUAAAACAAUACUAAUCACAAAUUAGCACUGUGAGUUAUUAUACUUAAAAUAGUAAACAUUAGUUCAAUAGUAUAGUAUCCCAUUGGAAUAUAGCUUCUCCCAGAAGCAUAUAAUGAAUUAAAUUCUGCUCUAGGGCACAUUUGAAAUUUUUUCUUCCAGUGUGCCAAAGUGACAACUGAAACUACUAUGACAGAGAGCUGAGUGAGGCCUUCCUUAAAAAAUAAAAAGCAAACAAAUAAACACUAAAAGCAGGGAAGAGACUGCAAUUAGAAUGAAAGUAUGGAAAUCUUUAUGACUUGCACGGCUCUAACUGCACUGCUAAGGCCCAGAGAGAACCCCAUGUUCAGGAUGUUUAGCUGAGCCUGUGUAGCCCAUCUUGGCUUUGGACUUCCUCAUAUUUUUUUUUGUUUGUUUGUUUUCAUUCUUUAAUCAUGGGGACAGUUUAAAAAGACUAUAUUUACUGUCACAGUGUUGUAACCUGCUUAAUGUACUUAAGCUCCAUAGCCCCUCAGAAGAGACCUACUUUAGUUCUUAGUGUAACUGUGGCUCCUAUGUUAUCACCUGCUCUUUCCUAUCUUGCAUAUCAGAAGCCAUUUGCCUCCAAGUCUCCAUUUUGAUUAUAAGGUGAAAUUAAGUUCAAAAUCUCAUACCCUACAAUUCAAUAGUUCAAAAUUUGCUGCUUAGAAUAAAACAAUAGAUUAUAAAUGCAUGUCCUGCUUGAAUUAAAUGUAUAUUCCGUUAGAGCAAGAUUGAAACAUCCAGCUAUGUUCCUUACUCCCAGAAAGCUGGAAAUCCCCCAAGAGCUCCUCUACCCUGAAUCUCAGUCAACCAGUUUAAAAUGCUUUAUCAAGCUACCUAACACAAUACAAUACAUUUGGAACAAAAUCAAUUAUGUUUAGCUAGUCAAAAUGGUAUAAAAUGCUGCUUGCCCCUCCUUGCUUCCUACACUUGUUGUUACAGUUUUUUUGUAUAAAAGGCCUGCCUUAAAAGACCUACAACUAAUAAAUGGGACCUCCUGAAACUGAAAAACUUCUGUAAAGCAAAGGACACUGUCAACAGAAUAAAAUGGCAGCCUCAGACUGGGAAAAGAUCUUUACCAACCCUACAUCAGAUAGAGGGCUAAAUAUCCAGAAUAUAUAAAGAACUUAAGAAAUUAGACACCAACAAACCAAAUAUUAAAAUUUAAAAAUGGGGUACGAGCUAAGCACAGAAUUCUCAACAGAGGAAUAUCGAAUGGCAGAGAAACACUUAAAGAAAAGUUCAAAAUCCUUAGUUAUCAGGGAAAUGAAAAUCAAAACAACUCUUAAGAGUACAUCUGACACCAGUCAGAACGGCUAAGAUUAAAAAAAAACAAAAAAACAAAAAACAAAACUCAAGUGACAACACAUGCUGGAAAGCACAAGAAGAAAGGGGAACCCUCCUCCAUUGCUGGUGGGAGUGCAAACUUGUACAACCACUAUGGAAAUCAAUCUGGUGCUUUCUCAAAAAAUUGCAAAUAGCACUGAGGAGAGCUGCUUGUUUGUCAAGCUGCUUUGUUAUUGAGUAUUCAGCAAAAAAUGUUUUCACCCUGGCCUUCACCCCGAGACAGAGAUAAGCAGGAUAUUUCACCAAAUUCUUUAAACUUGUUUGUGUGACCUUGGACCAUAUGUGCUAUAGGGAAGUGGUUUAAGAAACAAGUUUGGUAAUUCCAUGAACUUCUUUCUUGUAUUGAAGUGAAUUGUUCUUACUUUGCUUAUAACAAGGAAUUGUGGAAUAAACUCGAGGCUGCAGUUCUUACUGACAGUCCUCU